UUGUUUUGAAUUAUUUUACAUUUGCUGGCGCUAAAUUUUCUCCCACCACUGUAAUCACAAGGAGUAACCGAACGAAACGGUACUUUUAAAAGCAAACGACAGGAACAAAAGGGAAAGUAAGCGCGCGGUCUUUUUCGGUUCUUUUACAUUUCUCGCCACUUGCGUUUUGAUUUUCUUGGAGACAAUCUCGUGUGCUGUGUUUUAAAUAAAUCGCUGCCGUUGAAAUUUUCAACUGCUGAAGUCAUCUGUUGGUGGAACGUAAAUCUAGCGUUUAAGGCAGUGUUGCCCACGCAGACGACUCUGCCGAAACCGACAGUGCCAACCAGGGGUGCUCAAAACUGCCUUAUGGUAGUGAAUUUAUCAACACAUUUAAAAAAGAUCACGAACACAAGUAAAGAAUUCAGUGUAAAGCCGAGGAAAAGACAUAAACAAAUUUCGAACGCUGCCGAUAAUUUCGAGAUCAUCUUUUUCAACGAAAACCUCGCAUACCAAAGAACGCUUGUUUCGUAAUGGACAAAAAAUGGGAAACCAAUUUAUUAUAUUUUUCUUAAUGAACAGCAGCGGCGUAAUAAUAACAAGAUGAUUACAUGAUUUCUUUUAAAAGCGUGAUUUUGUUUUGAAUUAUUUUACAUUUGCUGGCGCUAAAUUUUCUCCCACCACUGUAAUCACAAGGAGUAACCGAACGAAACGGUACUUUUAAAAGCAAACGACAGGAACAAAAGGGAAAGUAAGCGCGCGGUCUUUUUCGGUUCUUUUACAUUUCUCGCCACUUGCGUUUUGAUUUUCUUGGAGACAAUCUCGUGUGCUGUGUUUUAAAUAAAUCGCUGCCGUUGAAAUUUUCAAAAAAACUAUUACAAAACAGAAGGUUGCAAUAUUCAAAACACUUUUGGAGGACAAUUUGCCAAGGAAUAUUAGUAAGGUAUUAAGUCCCAGUUUAGUGAUGGAGCUAAGCUACGACGGUACUAGGAACAAGGAAGGUUUUGCGCCCUAUAUUCAUUUAAA